GGUCCAAAGUCGAAGUAGAGUAGUUUAGUAGGGUCAGAUGAUCCUUCUAACUUAUUCUGCUUGAAAUUUGGGCCC
rnacentral:pre_miRNA from 1 species